rnacentral:rRNA from 1 species
AAUGUAACCGGACCGUUCCUUUGCCGUAAAACGCACUGGAUUGGAAAGGGAGAUAUCAUACACCCUAUAUUUAUUUACUUUUGUUGCUUUGGUGGGCCGUCCUUUACGGCGUCGGCCUCGGCUGAUCGCGCCCGCCAGAGGACCCAAACUCUUUUAUUAGUGAUGUCUGAGUACUAUAUAAUAGUUAAAACUUUCAACAACGGAUCUCUUGGUUCUGGCAUCGAUGAAGAACGCAGCGAAAUGCGAUAAGUAAUGUGAAUUGCAGAAUUCAGUGAAUCAUCGAAUCUUUGAACGCACAUUGCGCCCGCUGGUAUUCCGGCGGGCAUGCCUGUUCGAGCGUCAUUAUGACCAAUCAAGCUCUGCUUGGCCUUGGGGCCCGCUGUACCGGCGGCCUUUAAAAUCAGUGGCGGUGCCGUCGGGCUCUAAGCGUAGUAAUACUUCUCGCUAUAGGGUCCCGUCGUUCACCCGCCAGAACCCCCAACUUUCUUAGGUUGACCUCGGAUCAGGUAGGG